rfam:Triticum aestivum genome assembly, contig: Triticum_aestivum_CS42_TGACv1_scaffold_641957_T_6BS-0.153644_3AS-0.101328
AAAAUACUCCAUCCGUCCCAAAAUUUUUGUCUUAAAUUUGUCUAGAUAUGGGUGUAUCUAAUACUAAAACGUGACUUGAUACAUCCGUAUUUAAAAAAAUCUAAGACAAAAAUUUUGGGAUGGAGGGAAUACAAU